AAUUAUAAUAAUUUGGAGGGAAAGGGGGUUGCAUCUUCCAUUCCAAGGGAGGCUCCUGCCUUCCUUAGCAGACACCUUUCUUUCAAACCAAGUGGUCACACCUCUGAGGUCUAACAGAAAUCCCUGGAGACCUGGGAUUUCAGCCAGCCAAGAGCUCCCUCCAAGUGCAGCUUGCUCUUCCUCUUGAGGACUGCAAGGCCUGACAGCAGGGAGAACAGUGAGUGGCGUGAGCCCUUGAGGAACAGGGAGAGGGUGCCUGGGUACACAAGACCAUGUGUAAAACAAACUAAGGAGCAAUACCAGCAGCAAGACAAACCAUGGUGAAAUUACACGUGCUCGAGGUCUCAUUCUGCAGCACUCUCUGUGCCCAAGCAUAGAUAUUUUCCUAGUUGCUUGUGUCUUCAUUGCAGAUUCAGAACAAUGGGCACCUUCCAUGUGAACUUCCAGUCUCUCCAGAAGCCUGUUGUGAAGAAGCCCUCCAAGGGAGACUACAAGAAGUGAGGGGAAAGUGACCAGGGAAGUGCUCAGCGUGAAGCAGAAGCCUGCAAGACAGCACUGAGGACAGUACACAUUCCUGGGAGAGCAGCAGAGCUGGGUUUGUCAACCAGUCUGAGACGGGAGCAAGGUGGAUGGCAAUCACAGGUGUGCCUCAGUAGCACCCAUGUCCCUGGGCCUCAGAGGAAGGGAGACCAUGGUGCAAAGGGCAUGUGUGGGGCUGAGUCAUACUCUCCUCUCAGUACUGGUCCAAACAUGGGACAUCAUUAAACCACCUUUGCUGUGACCAAAAAUGCACCAAAUGUACCCCCCUUGGCCCAGUAACAUAUGUGCAGCAGAGUCCUAGGUGAGACAGGGACACUCCUGUUCUAUUCGCAAGGGGAAUCCCUAAACUCCAGCCAUAAGGCUCAGAGUCCAACUUGGGAAGAGUGCCAUAACAGGCAACAACUGAGGGGUUCCCCCUUCACGUUUUG